AUUGAACGCUGGCGGCAUGCCUUACACAUGCAAGUCGAACGGUAACAGGUCUUCGGAUGCUGACGAGUGGCGAACGGGUGAGUAAUACAUCGGAACGUGCCCGAGAGUGGGGGAUAACGAAGCGAAAGCUUUGCUAAUACCGCAUACGAUCUCAGGAUGAAAGCAGGGGACCGCAAGGCCUUGCGCUCACGGAGCGGCCGAUGGCAGAUUAGGUAGUUGGGGGGAUAAAAGCUUACCAAGCCGACGAUCUGUAGCUGGUCUGAGAGGACGACCAGCCACAGUGGGACUGAGGCACGGCUGAGGCUCCUACGGGAGGCAGCAGUGGGGAAUUUUGGACAAUGGGCGCAAGCCUGAUUCAGCCAUGCCGCGUGCAGGAUGAAGGCCUUCGGGUUGUAAACUGCUUUUGUACGGAACGAAAAGACUCUGGUUAAUACCUGGGGUCCAGGACGGUACCGUAAGAAUAAGCACCGGCUAACUACGUGCCAGCAGCCGCCGUAACAC
rnacentral:rRNA from 1 species